rfam:Camelus ferus unplaced genomic scaffold scaffold1141, whole genome shotgun sequence.
GUGGGUAGAGCUCAGUGAUAGAACACAUGCUUAGCAUGCAUGAGGUCCUGGGUUCAAUCCCCUAGUACCUCCA